rnacentral:rRNA from 1 species
UACAGAGGGUGCGAGCGUUGUUCGGAAUUAUUGGGCGUAAAGCGCAUGUAGGCGGCUUGUUAAGUCGCGUGUGAAAGCUCCAGGCUCAACCUGGAAAGUGCGCGCGAAACUGGCGAGCUUGAGUGCCGGAGGGGGUGGCGGAAUUCCCGGUGUAGAGGUGAAAUUCGUAGAUAUCGGGAGGAACACCAGAGGCGAAGGCGGCCACCUGGACGGACACUGACGCUGAGACGCGAAAGCGUGGGGAGCAAACAGG